AACUCCAAGGAAAGGUUUCCCUCGAGGUUAAGCCAGGCUGCCUGAAAGCAAUAUGACUGUCGCCCUGGUCACGUUAUCUGAACCGCAGGAUUUCCUAGGGUUUAGGUUUCCAAUGCUUCACUCUGAUUUCUUGGGGUGAUAAGUAAGCUUACUCAUUUUGAAACGCCUUUUUUUUGUUUUGUUUUUAGUGGUCACCCUUAGAUAGCAGCAAACCCUUAGAUAAUUUUUCUUAUGCGUAGGGCAGGGAAGAGAUUUGCCUUCGAUUGUUACCUUUUACCAGAAUGUCCUUAAGGAAACCCCUCCCCCCUUUCCUUCCAGACUUCGCGAAACACAAAACCAUCUACUGUGAAGAUCCCCCUGUAUCUGGCGAGUUUUAGUUUUAUUCUCAAUUCCUUGAGAUGCAGAGAUCAGGUCGCCCACACACUAGUAGUUAAAUAUGGUGAGUGGGAGAAGCUGUCUUUCACCUUUAGCCAAAAAUCUUUUACGUUGUUUCUGCCCUUUGCCUGGUCACCCAUCUGCUUUGGAAAUCAGAAAACGAGUUAUAAAGCCUAAUUGGACUCAAACUGUAAGAGAAAAAGCAAAAGCGGGGGGCGGGGGGGGGGCGUAAGAAGAGAAAGGCUGUUCACGAAUCUACUCGUCCCAUCCCCCACCCCCUCCCCGGCGUCCAUGCAGACUUCUCCAGAGUCUGGAUCACUAAAGAACAGUGGCCAAGUGGCCACUUUUGCAUCUGAGGAUUGUUUCGUUGAGGCGAAGCCCCACCACACCGGGAUCCUUAUUAUCACGUGAAGCAGCGAAGGAGGAAGGAACGUCGUCCUUGGGCGGUAACAGAGGAGCUGAUGAAGUCCUGUUUCUGAAAGCCUUGUCUCCUAAGACGGAAAACCUGGAGAGAGUACCUCAGUUUUCACUGAUGCUCACAAUAAGAUACCAAACACACACACACACACACACACACACACACACACACACACACACACACACACAGCAAGACUUCACGAGUAAGGCUUAUCCCCACGAUAAGCAUGUCACCUGCCUGCCUGCCUGCCUGCCUUCCUCACUUCCCUUUUCUCC
rnacentral:lncRNA from 1 species